UACGUAGGAUGCAAGCGUUGUCCGGAAUUAUUGGGCGUAAAGGGCGUGUAGGCGGUAAACCAAGUCAGAUGUGAAAUAUCCCGGCUUAACUGGGAGGGGCCAUUUGAAACUGGUUAACUAGAGUGCAGGAGAGGUCAGUAGAAUUCCCGGUGUAGUGGUGAAAUGCGUAGAUAUCGGGAGGAAUACCAGUGGCGAAGGCGGCUGACUGGCCUGCAACUGACGCUGAAACGCGAAGGCUAGGGGAGCAAACAGG
rnacentral:rRNA from 1 species